rnacentral:rRNA from 1 species
UAGGGAAUCUUCGGCAAUGGGGGGAACCCUGACCGAGCAACGCCGCGUGAGUGAAGAAGGUUUUCGGAUCGUAAAGCUCUGUUUUUAAGGAAGAACGAGUGUGAGAAUGGAAAGUUCAUACUGUGACGGUACUUAACCAGAAAGGGACGGCUAACUACGUGCCAGCAGCCGCGGUAAUACGUAGGUCCCGAGCGUUGUCCGGAUUUAUUGGGCGUAAAGCGAGCGCAGGGGGUUAGAUAAGUCUGAAGUUAAAGGCAGUGGCUCAACCAUUGUAGGCUUUGGAAACUGUUUAACUUGAGUGCAGAAGGGGGGAGUGGAAUUCCAUGUGUGGCGGUGAAAUGCGUGGAUAUAUGACGGAACACCGGUGGCGAAAGCGGCUCUCUGGUCUGUAACGGACGCGGAGGCUCGAAAGCGUGGGGAGCGAACAGG